CACGCCCUAAACGAUGUCAACUAGUUGUCGGGGAUUCAUUUCCUUGGUAACGCAGCUAACGCGUGAAGUUGACCGCCUGGGGAGUACGGCCGCAAGGUUAAAACUCAAAGGAAUUGACGGGGACCCGCACAAGCGGUGGAUGAUGUGGAUUAAUUCGAUGCAACGCGAAAAACCUUACCUACGCUUGACAUGCCAGGAACUUUCCAGAGAUGGAUUGGUGCCCGAAAGGGAACCUGGACACAGGUGCUGCAUGGCUGUCGUCAGCUCGUGUCGUGAGAUGUUGGGUUAAGUCCCGCAACGAGCGCAACCCUUAUCCUUAGUUGCUACGCAAGGGCACUCUAGGGAGACUGCCGGUGACAAACCG
rnacentral:rRNA from 1 species